AACGAACGCUGGCGGCGUGCCUAACACAUGCAAGUCGAGCGGGAAAGCCCGCAAGGGUGAGUACAGCGGCGCACGGGUGCGUAACACGUGGGUAAUCUGCCCUGAAGCCCGGAAUAACCUCCCGAAAGGGAUGCUAAUACCGGAUGAGACCACGGGAGCCUCGGCUCCCGCGGGAAAAGGUGGCCUCUGCAUGCAAGCUAUCACUUCAGGAUGAGCCCGCGGCCCAUCAGCUCGUUGGCGGGGUAAUGGCCCACCAAGGCUACGACGGGUAGCUGGUCUGAGAGGACGAUCAGCCCAACAGGAACUGAGACACGGUCCAGACACCUACGGGUGGCUGCAGUCGAGAAGCUUCGGCAAUGGGCGCAAGCCUGACCGAGCGACACCGCGUGCGGGAUGAAGGCCUUCGGGUUGUAAAGCACUUUCGGACGGAACGAAAUCGCGCGGGCGAACAUCCCGCGUGGAUGACGGUACCGUAAGAAGAAGCACCGGCUAACUACGUGCCAGCAGCCGCCGCAGUA
rnacentral:rRNA from 1 species